UACGAAGGGGGCUAGCGUUGUUCGGAUUUACUGGGCGUAAAGCGCACGUAGGCGGAUCGUUAAGUCGGGGGUGAAAUCCUGGAGCUCAACUCCAGAACUGCCUUCGAUACUGGCGAUCUUGAGUCCGGAAGAGGUGAGUGGAACUCCUAGUGUAGAGGUGGAAUUCGUAGAUAUUAGGAAGAACACCAGUGGCGAAGGCGGCUCACUGGUCCGGUACUGACGCUGAGGUGAGAAAGCGUGGGGAGCAAACAGG
rnacentral:rRNA from 1 species